rnacentral:rRNA from 1 species
GAUGAACGCUGGCGGCGUGCCUAAUACAUGCAAGUCGAGCGAACGGGCGAGAAGCUUGCUUCUCUGAUGUUAGCGGCGGACGGGUGAGUAACACGUGGAUAACCUACCUAUAAGACUGGGAUAACUUCGGGAAACCGGAGCUAAUACCGGAUGAUAUUUUGAACCGCAUGGUUCAAAAGUGAAAGACGGUCUUGCUGUCACUUAUAGAUGGAUCCGCGCUGCAUUAGCUAGUUGGUAAGGUAACGGCUUACCAAGGCAACGAUGCGUAGCCGACCUGAGAGGGUGAUCGGCCACACUAGAACUGAGACACGGUCCAGACUACUACGGGAGGCAGCAGAAGGGAAUCGUCCGCAAUGGGCGAAAGCCUGACGGAGCAACGCCGCGUGAGUGAUGAAGGUCUUCGGAUCGUAAAACUCUGUUUUUAGGGAAGAACAUAUGUGUAAGUAAAUGUGCACAUCGUGACGGUACCUAAUCAGAAAGCCACGGCUAACUACGUG